CGAGGGGGACGGCCUCUUCGCUAUCGAGAUCUCCGGGACGGCCCG
rnacentral:ncRNA from 1 species